rnacentral:rRNA from 1 species
GACGAACGCUGGCGGCGUGCUUAACACAUGCAAGUCGAACGUGAUUUUUGUGGAAAUUCUUUCGGGAAUGGAAAUGAAAUGAAAGUGGCGAACGGGUGAGUAACACGUGAGCAACCUACCUUACACAGGGGGAUAGCCGUUGGAAACGACGAUUAAUACCGCAUGAGACCACAGAAUCGCAUGAUAUAGGGGUCAAAGAUUUAUCGGUGUAAGAAGGGCUCGCGUCUGAUUAGCUAGUUGGAAGGGUAAAGGCCUACCAAGGCGACGAUCAGUAGCCGGUCUGAGAGGAUGAACGGCCACAUUGGAACUGAGGCACGGUCCAAACUCCUACGGGAGGCAGCAGUGGGGAAUAUUGCACAAUGGGGGGAACCCUGAUGCAGCGACGCCGCGUGAGCGAAGAAGGUUUUCGAAUCGUAAAGCUCUGUCCUAUGAGAAGAUAAUGACGGUAUCAUAGGAGGAAGCCCCGGCUAAAUACGUG